UUACGGGAGGCAGCAGUGAGGAAUUUUCCGCAAUGGUCGCAAGACUGACGGAGCAACGCCGCGUGCAGGAGGACGCUUUUCGGAGUGUAAACUGCUUUUCUGUGGGACGAGCAAGGACGGUACCACAGGAAGAAGCCCCGGCUAACUACGUGCCAGCAGCCGCGGUAAUACGUAGGGGGCGAGCGUUGUCCGGAGUUACUGGGCGUAAAGGGCACGCAGGCGGUGCUGCGCGUUUCGCGUGACAGCGGGUGGCUUAACUGCCCGAGGAUGCGAAAGACGGCAGGACUUGAGGGCCAGAGAGGGACACGGAAUUCCGGGUGGAGUGGUGAAAUGCGUAGAGAUCCGGAGGAACACCGAAGGCGAAGGCAGUGUCCUGGCUGGUGACUGACGCUGAGGUGCGAAAGCCAGGGGAGCGAACGGGAUUAGAUACCCCGGU
rnacentral:rRNA from 1 species